rnacentral:rRNA from 1 species
CCUACGGGAGGCAGCAGUGAGGAAUAUUGGUCAAUGGACGAGAGUCUGAACCAGCCAAGUAGCGUGAAGGAUGACUGCCCUAUGGGUUGUAAACUUCUUUUAUAAAGGAAUAAAACGAGGCACGUGUGCCCUUUUGCAUGUACUUUAUGAAUAAGGAUCGGCUAACUCCGUGCCAGCAGCCGCGGUAAUACGGAGGGUCCGAGCGUUAUCCGGAUUUAUUGGGUUUAAAGGGAGCGUAGAUGGGUUGUUAAGUCAGUUGUGAAAGUUUGCGGCUCAACCGUAAAAUUGCAAUUGAUACUGGCAGUCUUGAGUACAGUUGAGGUAGGUGGAAUUCGUGGUGUAGCGGUGAAAUGCUUAGAUAUCACGAAGAACCCCGAUUGCGAAGGCAGCUUACUGAACUGUGACUGACAUUGAUGCUCGAAAGUGUGGGUAUCAAACAGGAUUAGAUACCCGAGUAGUC